AGUCCGGACAGGUCCUUCGAAGGGACAUCCAACGGUUCGUGCGGAUCGUGGAUCAAAGUGAAAUUUUUAUUUUAACGAGGGUAUAUUCUUUCGUAAGAAAGAAGAUUUCUUCGCGGAAUCUUUAUUGAUUACAUCUUGUUCCACCCUCAGAAGAAUUCAAAGCAGUCGAAAAGAGAAAAUGGAGAUCAAUCCUAACGUUGACAGUGUUCUUGGAUAUCGAACUAAUGUUAAUUUGGAUAGCAUUUAGUUAGAAAGUUAUAUAUACAAUAAUAGUAUUUAUUUCAAUGCCAUGAGUGAGAUUAGGAACGGCGAAGAAAAUAUUAGGGCGAUUAACAAUUAUUCCGAAAAAAAUUUGCAAAUCCAUGUCGAAGAUGAAGAAGAAGAAAAAGGAGAUACAGGGGAUGAAGAAGUCGAAGGGAGCGAUCGAUAAAGUUGAAGCAGAAGACCAUGUUGCAAUACGCAGAUAUACAAAGUCGAUUAUACUAUAUGAUAAUUAAAAAGGGA